rnacentral:rRNA from 1 species
GAUGAACGCUAGCGGCAGGCCUAACACAUGCAAGUCGAGGGGUAUCCCGCUUUCGGGCGGGAGAGACCGGCGCACGGGUGCGUAACGCGUAUGCCACCUACCCUGUACUGGGGGAUAGCCCGGAGAAAUUCGGAUUAACACCCCAUAGUACUAAUGAAUGGCAUCAUUUAUUAGUUAAAGGUUACAGUACAGGAUGGGCAUGCGUCCUAAUAGCUAGAUGGUAAGGUAACGGCUUACCAUGGCUACGAUAGGUAGGGGGACUGAGAGGGUGGUCCCCCACACUGGUACUGAGACACGGACCAGACUCCUACGGGAGGCAGCAGUGAGGAAUAUUGGUCAAUGGGCGCAAGCCUGAACCAGCCAUGCCGCGUGCAGGAAGACGGUCCUAUGGAUUGUAAACUGCUUUUAUUUGGGAAUAAACCUCUUUACGUGUAGAGAGCGGAAGGUACCAAAUGAAUAAGCACCGGCUAACUCCGUGCCAGCAGCCGCCGUAA